GGAGGAAGGCAUGGUAUUGGACAACAAGAGGUCAGAUGCCCUGGUGAUAGUGGGCUGAGAGGUAGAGGGUGGCCUGGGUCCUCAGAUAGUGCUCACUGUGCCCACUUUGGGUUCUGAAAGCAUCAGGGGCAGCUUCAGCCUCAUGAUCCUAUAUAUCUUAGAGGCACAGCUGUGUGUAUGCUACUUGGGUUCCCUGUAACUGUCACAGUGGACUUGGGUGGCUUGAGACUUUGGGGAAAGGGGAGGUAGAGACUGGCUUUGGUGAUGGGGAGGGGGCUCGACCCUAAGUAACAGCUCAACUUUCCCACAACCUUUUGCCUCUGCCUGCCUUGCCCAGACACCUUGUGUUCAUUGCCUUCUUUCUACCUCAGCCAGUGUGGUAGUACUCUCACGUGGGUUAGUGCCACCCCAAGGCUCUUCUCUUGAUGUAGACAUUUCCGGUGAUUCUAGGCUUGCCAUUGAGUUGAGAGUGGAGGCCAGUGCUUUCCCUCAGGCCACAUGAUUCAGGGACUGGGCCAGAGCUGGGUGCUCAUUCCCAGCCAGCCUGACCAUGUAGGCUCUGGCAGGCAUAGCCUGGAUGCUUAUGCAGUCCUGAGGAACAGACUGAAGGGGCAGGUCUCAUCAAUAGAGGUGGUCAUUUAGCGUGGAUUAAAAAGGAAGAAUGAAAACAAAAGACCCCGUGCAGGGAGCACUGCUAGCUGAAGGAGAACUUUUCCUCAGGUACAAGAGUUAAUUUUUGGACCACUGGCCUCCAGCUAGCUUGGCUGCAGGCCAACCUCACCGAGAAGUGGUCCCAAGUUCAGAGGACCCCUGUUAGGCUGUGGAAACUGAGGACAGAUCUUUUAUCUCCAGAAUGGCUUUCCCAAGUCUAGCUUCUGUCCCCUGUAGAUGACAGUCCCACAUGUACCCCUUAGAGGAACGGUUCCAAGAUGGGAAAGGAACACCUACUUGCUCAGUAGGCUGGCAGCUGGAGCAGGUGGGUGAGGCGGGGAGAGGGCUCCUGCCUUUACCUGCAGCUGGCUCUUCUCUCAUCUGCAUGAGAUUGGGGACACCUUGCUUCCCUCCUGCCCCUCCAGCCCCCUCUUCAUCUUCAUUGUCAUCCUACAACAUCCAGUCUCUCCCUUCACCAGAAGGUAAAGUUUAAAUUCUCACCACAGGAUCUUGCACAUCUCCUUUUAUUGCUAAGUCUGUAGAUGUUAGCCCUAUCCUAAGCUGUUCAGGGUCUCACUCCUUUUCUCUGAUUGUUAAUAAGGACUAUGAAAUUGACUGUACCCAGGUCACCUCUCUGCAGCCUCCAAGACAUUGAGGAGCCUAGGGCAGGGGUGGGGAGUGUCUUUUCCUCCUUGUUGAAUGUCUUCCAUGUCCUGUGUUUCCAUAGCUACAUCCGUCCCUUGGCCUUAACUUUGGAAUUUGGAGAUUAUAUGCAAACAUGUGUAAAGGCUCAUGAAUAUGGAUGACACUGGAAUUUUAUAAAUUCUAAAAUAAAACCCGAAACCAGACGCA
rnacentral:lncRNA from 1 species